GCCUGCCCAGUGACCCUGUUCAACGGCCGCGGUAUCCUAACCGUGCGAAGGUAGCGUAAUCACUUGUUCUUUAAAUGUGGACUAGUAUGAACGGCACCACGAAGGUUAUACUGUCUCCUUUUUUUAAUCAGUGAAACUAAUCCCCCCGUGAAGAAGCGGGGAUAAAGCUAUAAGACGAGAAGACCCUAUGGAGCUUUAAACAAUAUAGCAUUUGCCUCACAACAUUAAAGUUUCUGAAUCUUUAUACUUCACUAGGCAAUAUGACUAUGAGUUUUUGGUUGGGGUGACCGCGGAGCCUAAAAUAACCUCCACGUUGAAAGAAUCCUUUUAAGCUAAGAGUUACUAAUCUAAGCAUCAAUAAAUUGACAUCCAUUGACCCAAUAUACUUGAACAACGAACCAAGUUACCCUAGGGAUAACAGCGCA
rnacentral:rRNA from 1 species